rnacentral:rRNA from 1 species
AACGGAGGGGGCGAGCGUUAUUCAUCCUUAUUGGGCGUAAAGGGUAUGUAGGUACUGAAAAAUUUUUGUUGAAAAACUUCAAAUUUACCUUUUGAAAGCACAAUAAAAAUUAAUAAAUUUGAGAUAUGUUAGGGGUUGGCGGAAUUACUAAAGUAAAGGUAAAAUCUUACGAUCUUAGUACGAACACCAAAGGCGCAGGCAGCUUUCUCAAGUAUCUGACACUGAGGUACUAAAGCAUGGGGAUCAAACGGG